UUCUGAUUAAAAUGACGGCUGAGGUGACGACCCGCCAGAAUUAGUGAGAUUUGGAGUAGAAUUCACCCUGAGCUUGGUGAGGCUUAUACGUUAAGGAUGCAAGAGGCACAGAGGUUACCAAGCUCCCACCUGUCGCUCUCCGCCAGACGCCGAGACUGCGCCCGGAGAGUUGCUGCACGGGGAUUGGAGGAAUGAAGCAAUCAGUCUCGUCUAGUCCCCACCUUCCUCGCAGUCUCUGGUUGGAGGAGCGGAGCGUCAGUCACUAGAGCGGUCGCCACCUCUGGGACAGGUGAGAUUGUGUAACCUAUCUGCCGCCUGCUCUUUGGGAGGGGGUAGGGGGCUGGGACAGGCGAGGGGGCAGGGCGGUUCCUGCUUGGCGCCUCCAGCCUUUCCGAGUGGAGGAGCCCAGCGCCUGGAGCUGAGGGCACCGGGGGGGCUGCUUGGGAUGGCCGCCCUUGGGCGACUCGGCCCGCCCGCGUGCCGGGACGUGGCUGGGCGCGGCGGUUCUGCAACCUACCGGCGGGAUGGCCCCGCGGGGCCGCGUUCUCUUGCUGGAGGAAGGCGGCGGGCCUGAGGGCUGGACAGCGCCAUGCCUCAGUACUGGGAACUGUCCCACGAAGGACGGUGGGAAGGCCGCUAACACCUCGGGGGAAUCAGACCAUAGGGCUGAAAGCGGUGGUUAAGAGUGUAUGCUCUGGAGCAGUUUCCAGUACUGGUGCCGCCACUUAUUUGCUGUGUGACCUACGAGCGUUUGGUGUUUAAUCUGUGUGCCUUUCAGUUCGUUCGUUCAUCUGUGAAAUGGGGCUAAUAUGAGUACGUCCCUCAUCGCAUUGUUGUUAUGAAUACAUUAGCUAGCUAACUAACAGAAAGCGCUUAGCAAAGUGCUAAACUUAAAGCCCCAUUUUAGUUACUCUUCCUUGAGGAGUCUUCCACCUGCCCCUGGGUCCCGCCAACUAAACUAAUUCUUGUCAGUUCUUGGUGAUGCAAAACAAGCUAAGUAAGGCGGGGGCUGGGUGGGGGUGGCAGAGGUAUCCCCCCACCCCCACCCCACCCUAAGGAUCUGUCUCUACUUCUGUUAUCUCUAUCCGUCUAUCUCCUUUGUCAGUGAAGAAGGGUUUUAAAAUACUCAAGCUUCAAGUAAUCCUAUGAUCAAAGAUCACCAGAAGAAAGGCAUUUGGUGAAGUUUGUAAGGCAAAUGCCCCUUGACCCAGAGAAAGUCUAUAUGACUUACGUUGGCUCAAAGCAGAAGAUCUGGCACGUCUCCUCUCUUACAGCUCUAACAAAGGGCUGUGUGUAUCUUGAUUUUGCAAUUUUUAAUAUUUCACCUCCCUUGAAAUUGGAAUCUGAUAAUUCUAUAAAGAAUAUAACAAUUUUAAAAAAAUGGAUUCUGCCAAACAUUUAUUUAAAGAACAUUUUGAAGUUUAUGAACAUUUCAUUGGCUUGGUAAUUGCUAAUUUUGGCAUUUCACAUGCAAAAGGUGGGGGGGGAGUGUUUUCUAUAAGCAGAAUAUAUUAGGUGAAUGAUCUUUCUAGACAAUAAGUUGUAGGAAAUGGAAAGAACUCUUGUAGCUUUUCUACAAAACUAUUUUGAUAUAAAUGCCAUGUGUCCUGUCUUUAGUUAGAAUUUGUGGAACUUAAUUAAUUAACCUGUUUCCUUGGUGCUGUUUAAAUUUUCAAGGUAUGUGUGACUAGGUCACAACACAAACUAAUAGCACCAACGAAAGAAACCCAGCUCUGCCCAACCCACUUCAAAGCUGGAUUAUCCAGAAUUGGUAUGGAUACAUCCUUAGGCAAAAACAGGUAUUGACUGGUACAACAUUACAAAGGAACUGCUUGUCAUUCCUACCAUUAAUACAAAAAUAAUUUCUGAUGCAACUCCCUGAACUCAUUAAAUUCUUUGAAGAAAUGUAAUGAAACUCAAGAACAGAGAGAAAGGAAAUCUAUGCAUUUUCCCCAAUAUAUUUGAGAGAGAAACAUACAAUCUCUACUCACUGCCUAACAAUCAACCCUGUAUAUAGCCAGGAAAAUAUGAGUAAGCAAUAAUCUUUGUUUCACCUGGAUCUUUACCUGAGACACUUGUUGUCAGGAGUUUGACAACAAUUGAGUAGUCAGUUUAGGGUUUAGGAAUACCAAUCUCCUGGAUUUUGGUGACUGCUAUUAUCGAGACUGUGUUAAUUAUGGAUUUAAUAUUACUAUAUAUACAGCAUCGUCUGGUGUUUCAAAAGUGAAAAAUAAUUGAAAAAUCAUCACUAUAUCAAGUAAUACACUAGGUGAAUAUAUCAAAUCACACUCAAAGUAUUCAAUGUAAAAUAUCAGUAAGUUUAAUAUGAAUUGUGGGUAACAUUGGUUUUGAUAUAUUGUUUCUUAAGAUGAUAUUUACUACUAAACGAAAAAAUACACUGAUUUUUCAAGUGAUAAAUAAACAGCAAAAUUCCUCUUUAAACCAUAUAUAUUUGGGGACGCCUGGAUGCCUCAGUCAGUUGAGCAUCCGACUUCGGCUCAGGUGAUGAUCUUGCAGGCCAUGAGUUCAAGCCCUGUGUCAGGCUCUGUGCUGAUAGCUCAGAGCCUGGAGCCUGCUUCAGAUUCUGUGUCUCCCUCUCUCUCUGCCCCUCCCCCACUCACACUCCUCUCUGUCUCUCAAAAAUGAAUAAAUGUUUUUUAAAAAUUUUAAGUAUACAUAUUUGUUAGAAAUGAGCAUUAGAAUAAAAUGUUUUCCUCCAAAAAGCCAGUGGGAGUAUUUAUUAGAUUGUAGCUGUAGUGUGUUUCAAAGCAUUCUUAUCAACUUUUGACCAUCUUUUAGACAGAUGAGGAAAAGGCAAAAGGAGAAACUGUAUAUCCCAAGGAUUUUUAAAACAUCUGAGGUAAUAAAAGUCUUCAUUUCUUGUAAGAAAUACGAGAUUGAGAAAUGAAAUUAUAGAUACAGGGACUUAAGCUACUUUAGCUAUAGUUCUUUCACAUGCAACUUGCAUUCUCUCAAGACAUUUAUUUAAUUUCUGUAUGUCAGUGCAUCUCAGUUCAGCCUAUCUAUAGAAGGAAAGAAGUAAACCAACAAAUUUGUUGUACUUGGAUGUUAUGUCACUUAACCUUUAUAAUAAAUUUAUCAAGAUUUCACCCAUUUUAUAGAUAAGGAAGUUGAAACUCCAAAAAUGUUAAGUAACUUACCCAAGCUUAUAAGACCAAUAUAUGGAAAGGCUAGGGUUUGAAUUUAUUUCUGCCUGAUCUCAAAACCCAUGCUCUUCCCACUAUAUCACAUUGAUCCCUUGGUACCCUCAAAGGCAGAGGAACUUCAUCAAUGUGAUAAACUGAUGUAAUAAUCCAACCAUUAUAUCUGUCUUAUAGACAUGCUAAUUAGCACCUUAAGUGGAUUUAUCCCUGACUGCCACCAAAUUUAGUAUCUUUCUCUUUUUAAAUGGAAACAUUUCAUUUAAAACACCUGUUUUUUCCAACUACAUUGUUAAUUUCUGAGACCAUAUAAUUUUACAUUAAGAAAUCUGAAUAGUUAAUAUAUUCACAUGGUUCAAAUCUCAAAAAGAAUUUUAAAAAUACAAUGAAAGGAGUCAUUUUGCUUUGCCCAUUAAACACCAAGAUCCUCUCUCAUAAGCAAACCAUUUUAUUAGCUUUUAAAUAUGCUUCCAGAAAUACAAAUCAAAACCACACUCAUAUAUCACCUCACGCCAGUCAGAGUGGCCAAAAUGAACAAAUCAGGAGACUAUAGAUGCUGGAGAGGAUAUGGAGAAAUGGGAACCCUCUUGUACUGUCGGUGGGAAUGCAAACUGGUGCAGCCACUCUGGAAAACAGUGUAGAGGUUCCUCAAAAAAUUAAAAAUAGACCUACCCUAUGACCCAGCAAUAGCACUGCUAGGAAUUUACCCAAGGGAUACAGGAGUACUGAUGCAUAGGGGCACUUGCACCCCAAUGUUUAUAGCAGCACUCUCAACAAUAGCCAAAUUGUGGAAAGAGCCUAAAUGUCCAUCACCUGAUGAAUGCAUAAAGAAAUUGUGGUUUAUGUACACAAUGGAAUACUAUGUAGCAGUGAGAAAGAACGAAAUAUGGCCCUUUGUAGCAACGUGGAUGGAACUGGAGAGUGUGAUGCUAAGUGAAAUGCCAUACAGAGAAAGACAGAUACCAUAUGUUUUCACUCUUAUGUGGAUCCUGAGAAACUUAACAGAAACCCAUGGGGGAGGGGAAGGAAAAAAAAAAAAGAGGUUAGAGAGGGAGAGAGCCAAAGCAUAAGAGACUCUUAAAAACUGAGAACAAACUGAGGGUUGAUGGGGGGUGGGAGGGAGGAGAGGGUGGGUGAUGGGUAUUGAGGAGGGCACCUUUUGGGAUGAGCACUGGGUGUUGUAUGGAAACCAAUUUGACAAUAAAUUUCAUAUAUUAAAAUAAAAAAAUAAAAUCAGAAGGGAAUAAAAAUAAAUAAAUAAAUAAAUAAAUAAAUAAAUAUUCUUCCAGAGGUGUUUACAUAUAUAAGUAAUUUCAUAUAUAUAUCAAUUUAUUUUUUCCCUUUUAAACAGAAAUGGCAGAUUAUUACUAUACAUGCUUCUAUAUUUUGCUUUUCUCACCUGAUUUAUUCCAGAGAUAUUUCACGUUAGUCUAUAAAGAGCUCUGUCAUUUUUGUUUACUACUUCAUAGUAUUCUGUUUACAUGAUAAUGUUGAGUAUUUAGAUUGUUUACUUUUUUCCCCUUAACAGUGCUACAGACGUGUAACUUUCUAAUCUGUCUGGCCUCCAGUAAGUGGUGGGCACAAAUUAAUUUAAUUGAAAAGUUGUCAAAUUGCAACUAGAGGGGUUCCUGGGGGGCUCAGUCUGACUCUUGAUUUCUGCUCAGACCAUGAUCCCAGGGUCGUGGGAUUGAGCCCCCACAAAGAGCAUGGAGCCUGCUUGGGAUUCUCUCUCUCCCUUGGCCUCUCUCCCCUGUUUGCGCUCGCUCUCUCUCUCUCUCUCUCUUUCUCAAAAAUGAAAUAAAAUCAAUAAAAAUAAAAAUAAAUUGCAAUUGGACUGAAGGCAACUACUUAUUUACUUAUUUGAGCUAUAGUUGAAUAUACCUGCAAGAGGGAUGUCUAGCGACAUCCAGGAAGUGGGCAUAUAUUUUUUUUAAUUUUAAUGUUUAUUUUUGAGAGAGAGAGAGAGAGAGAGAGAGAGAGAGAGAGAGAGACGGAACGUGAUCAGGGGAGGGGCAAAGAGAGAGGGAGACACAGAAUCCGAAGCAGGCUUCAGGCUCUGAGCUGUCAGCACAGAGCCAGAUGCAAGGCCCAAACUCACAAACUGUGAGAUCAUGACCUGAGCCGAAGUCAGACGUUCAACUGACUGAGCCACCCAGGCAUCCCAAAAUUAGGCAUAUUUUAAAAAAUGAAGAGUUAUGCCUGCAUGCAGCUGGACUAACACACCACACAGCCUAAGAAAAUUUACCACAUUAUUCAGAAAGUUGCCUAGAAUUUAUUCUGUUACUUAGCCUACCCUUCCUAAAAAGGGACAAUAUAAUAUAUAUUCACACAAAAAGGCCUGCUUACCUCCUAAAAGUUCUGUCCUUACUGCCUGCCCAACAAGAAUGAAGGCAGUAAAUGAUGUUGCUCCAUUUGAUUAUACACCUUUCAUGCCAGGGAUUUUUUUUUUUUCAAACUUCUAAAACUAAUGAGUAUAUAAAUACCUCUUGUGGUGGAAUCAUUCAGGUUCUCAACAAAGGAGAGAUGAUGGAACAAUUAAUAUCCACCUUCUUCCUUGGGGCUCUGCUAGAACUCCUUAAUCCUUGAAUUGUUGGAUAAAGGACAGCAUGUCAAGGAGAAUAUGCUUUAAGGUUAUGGAGAAGAAUUAGGUUUUGGUGGGAAGAUCUCUGAGCCAGGAAUCAGAAAUACAAGUCUACUUCAAUUGACUGGUAUAGUGCUCUUAGACCUAGAUAGUUUGUCCACUUGACCUUUAAAGGUAUACUUUAAAGGUACAUAACUUAAGAAGCAUUUCAUUACAAAAUGUAGUCAUCAUUUCAAAUCAAAUACCAUGCACGCAUAGAAAAAAUAUGGUCAUUUACAUGUAAAACCAAGGUUAAUAGUAAUUAUCUCUGGGUAAUGGAAUUAUACAAAGAUUUAUAAUUCUUUUUCUUUUUGGAAUGUUUGCAUUUUACAGGCUUUUUUUUUUUAGUUUUUUCCAUAGUUAACAUGUUUUUUGUGUAAUAAAAAAUUAAAUAUUUAAAUUAAAUAAACCUAUAUCACAUUGUGCAAUGUUCUCAUCUGUUCAUUCAACCAACAUUUAUUCAACUCCUGCUAUUUGCAGGGCACUGUGCCAAGUGCUUUAGAGAAAACGUAAAAGAAAAAGAAGAUUUAAUGUACUUCCUUUCAACUGUGCUGAUGCAUAUAUACUUAUUGACUGAUGGUUAAGUAGAUAAAAUGCACAUGGAAUAAUAGAGAACAGAAAGACAUUCAAGACAGUACAACAAACUAUUUUAUAGUGUUGAGUAGAUAGGAAGUAAAAGAGAAAUUAACAUGGAGUAAGUUUAUUUAGGAAAAAGCUUGAUUAUGACCAUUUUGAGCUAGGAUAAUGACAGGGAAAUAAAGGAGGUAGAGCAUCCCAAAUGGAAAGAAAUGAUGGGAAUGAUCACAAAGAAGUAAAAGUCUUUAAACUGUAUGUCAGGAUGGUAAAACGACUAACUUGCACCAUACAGAGAACUCAAAAUGGGGAUUAAAGAGAAAUUCGGUUAAAGAAAUCUUAAAUACUGGACUCAAUGCUUUAAAUUUGGUUCAAUGGGCCACAUACCAUUGUUCUUGAAAAGCAGAGUUAUCAAGAUAAAAGUUAAGGGACGAUUACAAUUUUGUUUUAUUUUGGCUGCAUUGCAUGGGUUUUAUCAGAACAAGGAAAUCCUGGAGUCUGGGAAAUGAGCAGUCUUGCUGUUGUGCUUAGUCCAGGUGUGAGAUCAUGAAGGCCUGGAUCAGGGUAGUGACUGUCAGGUUAAGUAAAAUGUACUAUCAGCAAUCGUAAAAAAUCAGCAUGACUUGGUGCCUGAUAAAUGUGGGGAGCAGUAGUAUAAAAACAAAGUUACUCCAGAAAAAUUGAUACAAACAUUCUGAAGAGAAAUGUGGCAUUAGGUAUCAAGAUCCUUUCUUUACAGACACCUGGCUCAGUUGGUAGAGCAUGCAACUCUCAUUGGUAUCUCACUGAUACCAACUCAUAAUUGGUAUCAGUGAGUUCCAGAUGUAUUCUGGACAGGGUUCACUAAACAAGAUUUUUUUAAAAGAUCCUUUCUUUAAGUUUUUAUUUCCAUCUAUUAGAAUGGCUAAAAUCCAAAUAACUGACAAUACCAAUUGUUGGUGAGGAUGCAAAGCUAAAAGAACUCACUCACUGCUAGUAAGAAUGAAAAUGGUACAACCACUUUCAAAGAAAGUUUGGAGUUUCUUACAAAGCUAAACGUGGUCUUGCCGUGUAAUCCAUAGUUGCAAUCCUGGGUAUUUACCCACUGAGUGGAAAACCUAUCCACAUAAAAUUCUGCAUGUGAAUGUUUAUAGCAGUUUUAUUCACGAUCACCAAGAUUUGGAAGCAACCAAGGUAUCCUUUGAUAAGUGAAUGAAUAAACAAACUGUGUUAUCACCAUACAAUGGAAGAUUGUUGAGUAAUAAAAAGAAAUGAACUAUCAAACUAUGCAAAGACAUAGAUGAAUUUUAAAUGCAUAUUGCUGGGCAAAAGUAGCCAGUCUAAAAAGGCUGCAUACUGAAUGAAUCUAUAUGACAUUCUGGAAAAGGCAAAACUGUGGAGAUGGUAAACAGAUCAAUGACUGCCAGGGAUUGGAGUGGGGGAAGGGUUGAACAGGUGAAGAACAGGGACUUUCAGAUUGGUAACAUUCUGUAUGAUACUGUAUUUUGUACGGAAUUAUAAUAGUGGAUAUGUGACACUAUGCAUUUGUCAAAACUCAUAGACUUCAUAGUACAAAGAGUGAACUUUCUAAUUUUUUUACUUUUAUUUUAAAUAGUCUCCAUACCCAAUGUGGGGCUUGAACUCAUGACCCUGAGAUCAAGAAUCUUAUGCUCUACCAACUGAGUCAGCCAUGCACCCCAAGAGUGAACUUUAACGUAUGAAAAAAUGUUUUCAUUUGUUUAGUAGGUCAGGAUAUGUUAGAAUGGAAUGCAGAUGAUGACAAAAAUAUAUAUAAUUGUAUUACAAAUGUGUGAAACAACUUCAAUGAGGGGAGUGAAAGAAAAAGCAACUGACCUAUGUAAGUUUGGAAAGCAGUUGUCACUCUAAAGGCAAAAGGAACAGCACAUAAGCAAUGUACAAUAGUUGAUUAAGUUAUUUUCCCCUGGGGAUGUGCGUUAACAAACAUUUCUAAAGCCACAUAUGUGUAUUGGAAUUGAACAAUUAUGUAAAUGGCUGGCAGUUUCUGUUUCUCACUGUGGAGUGGGUGAUUACAGAUAAGCAAGGGGAGGAAGCUAGAAUGAUCUAUGUGGUAAUGGAUUAGAGUUGGAGACAUCAGAACUUCUAUUUAGUUUAAUAUAAUUACAAGUGGAUACAUGUAGGAAUAUGUAUAGGUAUGUGCAUAUAUACAAGUUAGUAUACACACAUAUUUUUUCUUGGUCUGUCAGCAGAGAGGACCUAGAAAUGAUAUUCCAGUAGCAACAUGCACACCUUGCACCCACAUCUUGGCUUUUAAUAACAUUCUCCAAUGAGAGGAACCAGGCUCCUUGGAGAAAUCUAGGACUGGGACUGAAUCUGAGACUGGGACAGGAAAUAUACACGAUGAACGUGGAACAUCUUAGAGUGCCAGAAAGUAAGAAAUUACUAAACAUGCAUGCGCACAUGCGGGCGCACGUGUGAGCGCACACAUACACACACACACACGCACAAUAAUGAGGGUAUUUCAAAGAGAUAAUCGGAGCUAACUGAAACAAUUCCCAAUGGCCAAAGCUGGAAUAAUUUGAGCAAAUAAAUAAUAUUGAAUUAUAGCCCAAAGUAUAAAAUAAAUGUCCUUGAGUCCAUAUGGGUAAAUAAAUGUUUGAAUGAAUAAAUAAAUAAAUGGGACAAUAGGUAAGUUUUCCAUGCAGAAGAAAUCCAAAUUGAUGUAGAAACUCUACCCUUGAGGAGGUGAAGCAUUAGCUCCCCUCUCCUUACAUUUGGGCUGUGCAUAGUGAUAUCCUUCCAAAGAGUAAAAUAUGGAAAUGGGAGAGGGACAAGUGACUUGAUUGUGGAGAAACCUGACAAACACUACCUCAGCCAGGUUGUCAGGAUUAACAUCAUCAGUGAUAACUCCUGUUGAUAGUAUAUACCCUUGAUACUACAUGCAAAAGUCUGAGAAACUGUCAUGGUCAAGGGGAACCUAAGGAGACAUGAUAACUAAAUGUAAUGUAGUAUCCUGGAUGGAAUACUGGAACAGGAAAAGGACAUGAGAUAAACACAAAAUAAACUUGAAUAAAUAAAUUAUGUAUCUCAGUAACUACGUAUUAAUUAGCUAAUAUUAUAUCAAUGUUGGUUUAUUAAUUGCAACACAUGUACCAUACUAAUAUAAGAUACUAAGAUAUUAGUAUAGAGGAGAUUGGAGAUGGGCUAUGUGGCAACUAUACUGUCUUCCCAACUUUUCUAUAAAUCUAACACUAUUCUAAAAUUUAAUUUUUUUAUUUUUAUUUUUUCCAGUUUUGCUGAGAUAUAAUUGAUCUAUAACAUUGUAUUACUUUAAGGAAUACAACAUAAUGAUUCGAUAUACAUAUAUAUUGCAAAAUGAUUACCACAAUAAAUUUAGUUAACAUACAUUACCUCACAUAGUUAGAAUUUUUUCUUCUUGUGUUGAGAACUUUUAAGAUCUCUCUUGUGAGCAUUUUUAAAAUUUUUUUAUAAUUUUUUUAAUGUUUAUUUAUUUUUGAGAGAGAGAGACAGAGCAUGAGCAGAGGAGGGGAAGAGAGAGAGGGAGACACAGAAUCCGAAGCAGGCUCCAGGCUCUGAGCUGCCAGCACAGAGCCCAACAUGGGACUCAAACCCCUGAACCGUGAGAUCAUGACCUGAGCCGAAGUUGGACGCUUAACCAACUGAGCCACCCAGGUGCCCCUUUUUCAAUUUUUUAAAAUGGUUAUUUUUGAGAGAGAGGGGGGGGGUUGGCACAGAGAGAGAGGGAGACACAGAAUCCGAAGCAGGCUCUAGGCUCUGAGCUGUUGGCACAGAGCCCGACAUGGGUCUUGAACUCACGAACUGCAAGAUCAUGACCUGAGUCGAAGUCAGCCGCUUAACCCACCGAGCUACCCAGGGGCCCCUCUUGUGAGCAUUUUUAACAUGCUUAUUCCUUUGGACUUCUAGGAAUUUAUGUUUAUGAGUCUAGGAAUUUAUGUUUAUGAGUUGGGUCACUUGUGUGGCUCGGUCAAUAGAUGGUAUGACUCUUGAUCUUGGGGUUGUGAGAUCAAGCCCCACGUUGGAUGUAGAGAUCACUUGAAAAUAAAAUCUUUUUUUGAAUCUUUUUAAAAAAUGCUUAUUGGGGCACCUGGGUGGCUCAGUCGGUUGGGCAUCUUCUUCGGCUCAGGUCAUGAUCUCACGGUUGCUGGGUUCGGCCCCACGUCAGGCUCUGUGCUGACGGCUCGGAGCCUGGAGCCUGCUUCCGAUUCUGUGUCUCCCUCUCUCUCUCUCUCUGCCCCUCCCCAACUCGUGCUCUGUUUCUGUCUCCAAAAUAAAUAAAUCUAAAAAAAGUUUUUUUUAAAUGCUUAUUUAUUUUUGAGAGAGAAUGCACACACAUGCGAGCAGGGGAAGAGCAGAGAAGGGGAUAAAGGAUCCAAAGCGGGAUCCAUACUGACAACAGAGAGCCCAAUAUGGGGCUCGAAAUCACAAAUUGUGAGAUCAUGACCUGAGCCGAAUUGGGACGCUUAACUGACUGAACCACCCAGGCGCCCCUGAUCUUUUUUUUUUAAGUAGGCAUCUCACCCAUUGUGGAGCCCAGUGUGGGGCUUGAACUCACGACACUGAGAUCAAGACCUGCUCUGAGAUCAAGAGUCAGAUGCUUAACUGACUGAACCACCCAAGUGCCCCCAAAAAUCAAAAUCUUAAAAAAAAAAAAAAGGUUUAAUCAGACAUAGGAACAAAAAUAUUGUAUAGAAAAAGAUGAAGUUCACAGGGGUGCCUGGGUGGCUCAGUCAGUUGAGUGUCAGACUUUGGCUCAGGUCAUGAUCUCAGGUUACUAGGUUUGAGUCCCGCAUCUGGCUUUCUGCUGUCAGUGCAGACCCUGAUUCAGAUCCUCUGUACCCCUCUCUCAAUGCCCCUCCCCCACUCAUGCUCUCUCAAAAAUAAAUAAACUUCAAAAAAAAAUGAAGUUCAUAUUAUGUUAAAUAAAAAAUAAGGUUAUAAGACAAGAUGUAUAUAUAUUCUCAAUACACUACAGUGAAUAGAAAAUGACAUACCUCAAAAUGACAAACAUCAGGGGCACCUGACUGGCUUAGUUGGAAGAGUAUGUGACUUUUGAUCUCAGGGUCAUGAGUUUGAGCCCCAUGUUGGGUAUAGAGAUUAAAUUUAAAAAAUUAAAAUUAAAAAAAAAACAAAUAUCAGACAGAGAUUAUCUGUGGAUGGUGGGAUAGUGGAUUAUUUUUAUUUAUGUUUCCAAUUUUUCUAUAAGUAAUGUAUUACUCUGGUGAUCAGAAAAAAAUAAAGGUUGUAAGAAAAAAUCACUAUAGGUGUAAAAUCAGAGGAUUCAUCAAAUUGGGAUACUUAUUGGCAAUAAGGAACUGGGAAUGAAUUUUCAAAAGAUGUUGAGUUGUAGCUUUGGUUUUCAUUAAAAAAACAUCACUCUGCAGAAAGGUCAUGUUAGCAAUGAAGAUUAAGUCACUUUUCCACCAGGUGAAUCCUUGGUGAAUAUAUUUUGGGUACUGCCUCCACAGAAAGAUGCAUACUUAAAAUCUGAGUGCUAGCAGCAAUUCUGUGUGUUUUCCUCCACCCCUCAGGAGUAAUUCAAAGGGAAGCCCAAGAAUCACACUGAUGAAUAAGUAUCAGCAAGUGUGUAGGCCUUCAUCCCAGAUACCUUGAUCCGCAGUUGUACAAGAUCAUUUGACAAGAACAGGCUACUAACAACCUGCAAUCACAGAUCCUUUGAAGAAACCCAGAAGCUUACCAAGUGCAUUACAGUGAAGCCCCUACCUCUGCAAUUCCACACAUGUGGGAAACCCG
rnacentral:lncRNA from 1 species